AGGGAUGCUGCUCAGUGGCUGAGCCUUUGCCUGGCAUGCAGAAGGGCCUGGGUUCAAUCCCAGCAUCUCUC
rnacentral:tRNA from 1 species